rnacentral:rRNA from 1 species
AUGAACGCUAGCUACAGGCUUAACACAUGCAAGUCGAGGGGCAGCAUGGUCUUAGCUUGCUAAGGCCGAUGGCGACCGGCGCACGGGUGAGUAACACGUAUCCAACCUGCCGUCUACUCUUGGACAGCCUUCUGAAAGGAAGAUUAAUACAAGAUGGCAUCAUGAGUCCGCAUGUUCACAUGAUUAAAGGUAUUCCGGUAGACGAUGGGGAUGCGUUCCAUUAGAUAGUAGGCGGGGUAACGGCCCACCUAGUCUUCGAUGGAUAGGGGUUCUGAGAGGAAGGUCCCCCACAUUGGAACUGAGACACGGUCCAAACUCCUACGGGAGGCAGCAGUGAGGAAUAUUGGUCAAUGGGCGAGAGCCUGAACCAGCCAAGUAGCGUGAAGGAUGACUGCCCUAUGGGUUGUAAACUUCUUUUAUAAAGGAAUAAAGUCGGGUAUGGAUACCCGUUUGCAUGUACUUUAUGAAUAAGGAUCGGCUAACUCCGUGCCAGCAGCCGCGGUAAUACGGAGGGUCCGAGCGUUAUCCGGAUUUAUUGGGUUUAAAGGGAGCGUAGAUGGAUGUUUAAGUCAGUUGUGAAAGUUUGCGGCUCAACCGUAAAAUUGCAGUUGAUACUGGAUAUCUUGAGUGCAGUUGAGGCAGGCGGAAUUCGUGGUGUAGCGGUGAAAUGCUUAGAUAUCACGAAGAACUCCGAUUGCGAAGGCAGCCUGCUAAGCUGCAACUGACAUUGAGGCUCGAAAGUGUGGGUAUCAAACAGGAUUAGAUACCCUGGUAGUCCACACGGUAAACGAUGAAUACUCGCUGUUUGCGAUAUACAGCAAGCGGCCAAGCGAAAGCGUUAAGUAUUCCACCUGGGGAGUACGCCGGCAACGGUGAAACUCAAAGGAAUUGACGGGGGCCCGCACAAGCGGAGGAACAUGUGGUUUAAUUCGAUGAUACGCGAGGAACCUUACCCGGGCUUAAAUUGCAGAUGAAUUACGGUGAAAGCCGUAAGCCGCAAGGCAUCUGUGAAGGUGCUGCAUGGUUGUCGUCAGCUCGUGCCGUGAGGUGUCGGCUUAAGUGCCAUAACGAGCGCAACCCUUGUUGUCAGUUACUAACAGGUUCCGCUGAGGACUCUGACAAGACUGCCAUCGUAAGAUGUGAGGAAGGUGGGGAUGACGUCAAAUCAGCACGGCCCUUACGUCCGGGGCUACACACGUGUUACAAUGGGGGGUACAGAGGGCCGCUACCACGCGAGUGGAUGCCAAUCCCCAAAACCUCUCUCAGUUCGGACUGGAGUCUGCAACCCGACUCCACGAAGCUGGAUUCGCUAGUAAUCGCGCAUCAGCCACGGCGCGGUGAAUACGUUCCCGGGCCUUGUACACACCGCCCGUCAAGCCAUGGGAGCCGGGGGUACCUGAAGUGCGUAACCGCGAGGAGCGCCCUAGGGUAAAACUGGUGACUGGGGCU